UACGUAGGGGGCUAGCGUUGCUCGGAAUCACUGGGCGUAAAGCGCACGUAGGCGGACUCUUAAGUCGGUGGUGAAAUCCUGGAGCUCAACUCCAGAACUGCCUUCGAUACUGAGAGUCUCGAGUCCGGGAGAGGUGAGUGGAACUGCGAGUGUAGAGGUGAAAUUCGUAGAUAUUCGCAAGAACACCGGUGGCGAAGGCGGGUCUCUGGGCCGUAACUGACGCUGAGGAGCGAAAGCAUGGGGAGCGAACAGG
rnacentral:rRNA from 1 species